rnacentral:lncRNA from 1 species
CUAUAAAACUUGUACACAAUGCUAAUUUAUACCACAAAAUACAGAUCAAGAAUGAAAUUUGGGGAUGCACUAAAUUUUAUAGAGUUGUGCCAAUUACAAAUGGAAAAUUGUUGAAUUUUUCGUUUCUAUUCUCUAAAUUAAAAUUGCAUCAACCAAACUUUAUAAAAUUUAUACACAAUACUUAUUACCACAAAACUCUGAUCAAGUACAAAUUGGGGUAGGGGCACUUUUAUUGUUGUCCAGUUAUGUCCCUUUAUAACUUUAUUACUCUUGUCCAUCCUUUGUUUGAUUCACCACAACCUUAUAGAAUUGGUUAUUUCUGACUAAUUUCAGUAGGAUUCUAUGAAAUUCUUCUUUAACAAAUUAUCAGCUGUCUUAUUCAAAUUUUAAACCCACUUCAAUAAUAAAUUAAACAUUUCCCACAUUACUUCAGUCAAACUAAGAACUAAUUGCAACAGAAAAUGUUUUAGUUUAAUCUUUAGCAUUAA